AACGUAGGAGACAAACGUUAUCCGGAUUUACUGGGCGUAAAGGGCGUGUAGGUGGUUUUGUAAGUCUGGCGUGAAAUUUUUCGGCUUAACCGGGAAAGGUCGUCGGAUACUGCAGAACUAGAGGACGGUAGAGGCGUGUGGAAUUCCGGGUGUAGUGGUGAAAUGCGUAGAGAUCCGGAGGAACACCAGUGGCGAAGGCGACACGCUGGGCCGUACCUGACACUGAUGCGCGACAGCAUGGGGAGCAAACAGG
rnacentral:rRNA from 1 species